AAUAACUUGAGUUCAAGGGGACGAAAAGAUGGGCAGGAAAUCCUAGAGCAUUUCAAUGAUGAAUACAGCAGAAAUGGAGUGGCUGAUGAAAUGUCUACCAUGUUACCAUGGUUUCCCAGCAACACAGGGAGGCAGUCACUCACUGAGCCACUGCAGUGACAACUGUAGGCCAGGACAAAGCCACUGCAACCUACCCAAACCAGCAGCCUCAAUGUAUAAUAAUGAUCAUAAGUGUCUAGAGUACAGUUACUCUGUUGCUGAACACUGAAUAAUGUGUACAGAGCCUAUUGGCAAUUCCAUUAUUUUCUUUCAUGCUCGAAGGGAUCGAAGAAAUAGGCGUACAAUGGGGAUGGCAAAAAAAAACUGCAUAUUGCAAGAAGCAAAUAAAGGUAC